UUUAUGGAGAGUUUGAUCCUGGCUCAGGAUGAACGCUGGCGGCGUGCCUAAUACAUGCAAGUCGAGCGAACGGACGAGAAGCUUGCUUCUCUGAUGUUAGCGGCGGACGGGUGAGUAACACGUGGAUAACCUACCUAUAAGACUGGGAUAACUUCGGGAAACCGGAGCUAAUACCGGAUAAUAUUUUGAACCGCAUGGUUCAAAAGUGAAAGACGGUCUUGCUGUCACUUAUAGAUGGAUCCGCGCUGCAUUAGCUAGUUGGUAAGGUAACGGCUUACCAAGGCAA
rnacentral:rRNA from 1 species